rnacentral:rRNA from 1 species
GACGAACGCUGGCGGCGUGCUUAACACAUGCAAGUCGAACGAAGAGUGAUGGAAGCUUGCUUCUAUCAAUCUUAGUGGCGAACGGGUGAGUAACGCGUAAUCAACCUGCCCUUCAGAGGGGGACAACAGUUGGAAACGACUGCUAAUACCGCAUACGAUCUAAUCUCGGCAUCGAGGAUAGAUGAAAGGUGGCCUCUACAUGUAAGCUAUCACUGAAGGAGGGGAUUGCGUCUGAUUAGCUAGUUGGAGGGGUAACGGCCCACCAAGGCGAUGAUCAGUAGCCGGUCUGAGAGGAUGAACGGCCACAUUGGGACUGAGACACGGCCCAGACGCCUACGGGAGGCAGCAGUGGGGAAUCUUCCGCAAUGGACGAAAGUCUGACGGAGCAACGCCGCGUGAGUGAUGACGGCCUUCGGGUUGUAAAGCUCUGUUAAUCGGGACGAAAGGCCUUCUUGCGAAUAGUGAGAAGGAUUGACGGUACCGGAAUAGAAAGCCACGGCUAACUACGUG